CACGUAGUUAGCCGGUGCUUUUUCUCCAGGUACCGUCACUUUCGCUUCUUCCCUGACAAAAGAGGUUUACAACCCGAAGGCCGUCAUCCCUCACGCGGCGUUGCUGCAUCAGGCUUGCGCCCAUUGUGCAAUAUUCCCCACUGCUGCCUCCCGUAGGAGUCUGGGCCGUGUCUCAGUCCCAGUGUGGCCGGUCACCCUCUCAGGCCGGCUACCCGUCGUCGCCAUGGUGAGCCAUUACCUCACCAUCUAGCUGAUAGGCCGCGAGUCCAUCCAUGUCCGAUAAAUCUUUCCAACACCUCACCAUGCAGUGGAUGCUCGUAUCCAGUAUUAGACGCCGUUUCCAGCGCUUAUCCCAGAGACAUGGGCAGGUUACUCACGUGUUACUCACCCGUUCGCCACUCAUCCACCCGAGCAAGCUCGGGCUUCAGCGUUCGACUUGCAUGUGUUAAGCACGCCGCCAGCGUCGUCCUCGUAGCCACG
rnacentral:rRNA from 1 species